AUGUUUCCGCAAGCAUCUAAAUUCCGCUACCUUCCAAUUCCGGCCAAUUCCAUACCAUCACACUCGCCGCACAUCAGCAUUGAUUGUUGUUCAUCUUCAACACCAACAUUACCCAUCGUAACAGCAACUGCAUCAUCACCGAUUUCAUCAACAUUCCGCAACUUUCAUCCUUCAAUUCAUCGUCUCUGCGACCAACCUUCACCUAUCCAUCCACCUGCAUACACACGCCACAACAUCUCCGCCCAACAAAUCACCCUUCGUUGUUCUCUAAUCAGCACCAACAACAUUCCGUAA